GCCAUCGUAGCAUAGAGGUUAGCAUGUCCGCCUUUGACGCUGAAAGCCUAGGUUCGAAUCCUGGCGAGAACA
rnacentral:tRNA from 1 species